UUUCGGCGCGCCGCCGCCCGGCGCCGCGGGACUGGGAGACCGGAUUUCUGAGAGAGCAGACACCAUCUUAUUUCUGUUGAAUUGUAUUUAGUAACUCAAAAGGCAUAUACCAAGCUGUCAGAAGCAGCUUCAUUUAAAAGAAAUAAAAUUUCUAGUCCUGCCUGAAGUUUAAGCUAGCCCAUGACUACACAAGUGCAACUGUAUUUCCCAGGUAGAUGCCGGUAGAUUGGGCCCAGUAAGUUUGGGCCGUUGGGAUGUGAAAGGAAGAGAUGCGGGCAACUUUUUGGGUCAUCUUCUUAAAGAAAAAGCCAUUUGUCCUGGAUGCCCUCUUUUCUUUUUUCUCUUUGGCUGGGAAAUGACAAGAAUUAAAGCAGCAGCCUUGGAUCCAGAGAUGGACGCCAAUUGAUGAAGACAGCAGAACUGACUGGCUAGUCUGGGUUCCCUG
rnacentral:lncRNA from 10 species